GAUUGAAAUGUCGAGUAUAACGGAUGCUACAAUUAUUCAUCAUGUGGGUAUUGUGUUGCUUGCACUAUGGUUGCUUAAUUCCUUCGAUUGUUGCCACGCUUUUGCUUACUUCCUAUCGCUUAUCUAUCUCUAUAUGGUUCAUGAGCAGUAUGUGACAAAAUUAAGGAGGAAGCUACAGUUUGAGGAAAAAAGGCAGUCUUGUCAGCGGCGAGUACUUUCAGACUCUGAAUCAGUGAGAUGGUUAAACUAUGCGAUUGAAAAGAUUUGGCCUCUCUGCAUGGAGGAGAUUGUUUCACAGAAAAUUCUUCUCUCUAUCAUUCCAUGGUUUCUUCAGAAGUACAAACCCUGGACUGCUAAAGAAGCUGUAGUUCAGCACCUCUAUUUGGGAAGAAG
rnacentral:misc_RNA from 1 species